rnacentral:rRNA from 1 species
AUGGCCAAUGAACACCACGCCUUACUUCUUAGUUAUGUCCCAGGGAAUUUCUGCUCUUUCAGCAUUGGCAGCUUUUUUUCAAAUCGACGUUUUCCCACUCGCCACGACACACCCAUGCUCAUCCAUCUUCCUCUUCCCCGCCCACUAUUUUUUUCCACAACCACCUUGCUUGAGCCAUGCCAUGUCCAGGCCCUCCUCGUGGGCUCUUCCCGGACGAGACGAAAGAAGAAUGUGCUGAACAUUGUGUUCUCAUUGUCACUGAUCAUCGAAAGAGAGUAUGUAUAUGCUGUUUCGAAACAGAGGAAGGUGCAAUGCCUGGUUUUUCCUUCACGGGCCUCUCAUGUUGGUAUAGCCCCCUACCUUAGCCGGCCCAAUUGCCCCCUCCAUUCACUGGGCUUCGUUAGGCCGCUGUCGGGCAGUGGAAUUUUGUUGGAGUAUAUGGUAUUGACGGUUCCCCCAUUCACGCGGCAGCAAAUCAUUCGCAAAAUCGCAAUGCCUCCUCCCGUCGUGCGGCGCCGCGGGUCUGCCCCUCCGGCGCCGGACCCUCCUCCGGCGGGUCGUCCUCCUCCUCCGGCGCGUCGACGAAAGAUUAUACCCGGUACUUUCGGGGAGCUAGCCGCCAGUAUAGUGGAAACCGUGGCGGCGAGGAGAUCUCUGCGUUUGGGGAACAGAUUAAUAUGCAUCCGAUCCCACACCUUUCCCUCCAUAGAUCGGCGUGUUAGGGCGAUGACUUUGCGAAACAAUGGGGUGCUCUUGGUGCUGCUAGAGACGCCAUCCGGCUUCGCGGUUUUCAAUUUCUGUGGGAUCUACCUCUACUUACCAGAUGCAAUACAAAGUAUGUGGGUAAAAUUUGCUAACUAUUAUAGGGCAAGGCGGGUUGUUUGGCUGAAGGAAUUUCAAACUUUUGAUGACAAGUCCAGAGCCAUUAAUGCUGAUACUGGUGUUAACAAACAGCUCACUCAGAUGAUCUUGAAGUGGCGCCGCCCUGGGCAGGAACUACUUGUUGGAAAACCGGAAUAUAAAUCAGUAAUUGAAGCAAGCUUGGGAAUACCCUGCCGGCAUGAUGAACUUGUAAUGGAGGUAAUGUGGGGCAUGAAGCGUUUCAUGCCUAGUUUGGUGCGCAGAGAAAAAUCAGAGCUUCCUAAAGAAGAUCUGCUCCCAGUGAUGGUCAACGACCAGAUUGUUGCGACUGCAUCCGUCUUGUUUGAUUGUGAUGCUGCUGAGAAGAAACAGUACAGAGACUUCCAUGCUCUUGGUCGCCACCUUAAGAAUGUGUCUGGCAUUGAGUAUGAGAACUGGGACCUUCUGAAACUUGCGACAGCUUUUAAAAUCAUUACAAGUUUUACAGAAAUAUAUGACAAGGUGGGGCCCUCUUGUCCAAUGCAAAACCGCCGCCCCUCUCCUCCAAUGCAAAACCGCCGCCCCUCUCGUCCAAUGCAAAGCCGCCGCCGUGCUCCUUCCCCUCUUCCAUCACCAUUGCAACCGCGGCCAUCUCCUAGCCUUCUCCUCCUUCUCGUGGCCGCAACUUUGCUCUUCUCAUCUUCCACUUCCACCCCCUCUUCCAUCCAUGCAAGAUCCUCGAUGGAGCAGCAGAUCGAGCACAUCGGCGGCGGCGAGAACGCCGACUUCGUGGAGAUCGCCGGCGGCGAGAACACCGACUUCAUGGAGAUCGCCGGCGGCGACCAGGUCAAGAUGGCCAGGUUGACGGAGAUCCGUUCUUGGUUUCACAACAUAUUGCAGAUGAACUGGACGGCAAUGGCCACUUUGAAGCAAGUCGAGAUCCUCCUCUGGGCGAUGGAGCAGGCCGAUUCGUCCAGCCCGUGGACCAGGCGUAGGUGGUGGGCGUUCAGAUCCAGGGUAGAGCAUCCACUGGAUCAGGAACCCACGGUGCACGAGGUGCCGUUGCAGAUUGUGGAGCCUCCAACCGAGUCGGAGAUGACUCCGAAGCGCAAGAGGAGGAGGACAGUGGUCGCGACAUCGCUUCCCCGCCGUUCUCCACGCUUCCCUCGCCGCUCUCCUCGUCUGAACGGCGGCCGUAGCUAUGUUUAG